rnacentral:rRNA from 1 species
GGCCUAACACAUGCAAGUCGAGCGCACCUUCGGGUGAGCGGCGGACGGGUUAGUAACGCGUGGGAACGUGCCCUUCUCUACGGAAUAGCCUCUGGAAACGAAGAGUAAUACCGUAUACGCCCUUUGGGGGAAAGAUUUAUCGGAGAAGGAUCGGCCCGCGUUAGAUUAGAUAGUUGGUGGGGUAACGGCCUACCAAGUCUACGAUCUAUAGCUGGUUUUAGAGGAUGAUCAGCAACACUGGGACUGAGACACGGCCCAGACUCCUACGGGAGGCAGCAGUGGGGAAUCUUAGACAAUGGGCGCAAGCCUGAUCUAGCCAUGCCGCGUGAGUGAUGAAGGCCUUAGGGUCGUAAAGCUCUUUCGCCUGUGAUGAUAAUGACAGUAGCAGGUAAAGAAACCCCGGCUAACUCCGUGCCAGCAGCCGCGGUAAUACGGAGGGGGUUAGCGUUGUUCGGAAUUACUGGGCGUAAAGCGCACGUAGGCGGAUUGGAAAGUUGGGGGUGAAAUCCCGGGGCUCAACCCCGGAACUGCCUCCAAAACUAUCAGUCUAGAGUUCGAGAGAGGUGAGUGGAAUUCCAAGUGUAGAGGUGAAAUUCGUAGAUAUUUGGAGGAACACCAGUGGCGAAGGCGGCUCACUGGCUCGAUACUGACGCUGAGGUGCGAAAGUGUGGGGAGCAAACAGGAUUAGAUACCCUGGUAGUCCACACCGUAAACGAUGAAUGCCAGUCGUCGGCAAGUAUACUUGUCGGUGACACACCUAACGGAUUAAGCAUUCCGCCUGGGGAGUACGGUCGCAAGAUUAAAACUCAAAGGAAUUGACGGGGGCCCGCACAAGCGGUGGAGCAUGUGGUUUAUUUCGAAGC